UUUUCCCAAGACUCAUACUGCAGGUCCGAAUAAGACGUUUUCCCGACAAAGAGAUACUACAUACUAAUGGCUAAGAUGCCAAGUUCAUCGAAGCUCCUUGCGGUGAUGAUUUUCUCAUUCAUGGCGCUUUUCAUAAUAUCCCAGGCUCGAACCCUUUCUCCUGGUAGGAAAUUAACUCAGUACCCGGCUCCGUCGUACGGACCGUACACUCCUGUUCCUCCUGGAUGUUUUAAUCCACCUGGCUGUCGUCCAUGAGAGUUUAAAUUUGGUUCACAUGAACUAUUAUCAAAUAAAAUAAGGUGAUGUAUUAUGUAUAUGGGUUAUGGGUAUCUUCAUAUAUUAUCAUGAUUUUCUGGGGAAUAAAAUGCUUGUGAGAUCCAUGUUAUAAAUACAGUAUGUUGCAGUUUGUAAUGGAUAAGUGAUAUUUAUGUUUCUUUUGUAUGGUCA